rnacentral:rRNA from 1 species
UACGUAGGGUGCGAGCGUUGUCCGGAUUUAUUGGGCGUAAAGAGCUCGUAGGCGGUUUGUCGCGUCGGCCGUGAAAUCUCCACGCUUAACGUGGAGCGUGCGGUCGAUACGGGCAGACGUUGAGUUCGGUAGGGGAGACUGGAAUUCCUGGUGUAGCGGUGAAAUGCGCAGAUAUCAGGAGGAACACCGGUGGCGAAGGCGGGUCUCUGGGCCGAUACUGACGCUGGAGGAGCGGAAAGCGUGGGGAGCGAACAGG